UACAUGUUGUGCAACUUUACAUUAAAAAUCCAGCUCUAUGUGUGGUCUUUGAGAUCUCAACCAGCUACAAGAGUGGGACACGUAUCGAUUCGGGUCUGAGUUGCGUCUCGUUCGGCAAAAAAUCAAAUAGCAGAAAUACCUAAAUAAAAAUUAAGGAAGGGUAUCAAGGUAUAACAGGUACUAAAAAAUAAAAUUUUCUGGACUCCAUAAAGAAAUACUCAAACAAGAAGCAUUUGCCCCAACUUAUAAUAAAACCAUACUUGUAUUUGCUUUUUAGAAAAAGUUGAUUACAAAUAUUCCAAAACAUUGAUAAAAUGAAUUGACCUCAUUACUUUAAGAGUUAGAGUCAGCAAAGUUAGUCCAGAGCCGCUAACCAUGGAAAACUUAAUAUUUAUCAAGCUUUGGGCUUAUGAACCCAGAAGCUAAAGAAUUUGCUAGAAAACGAUUUACACCUAAAUGUUAUUAGAUCGCAUAUUGUUUAUCUUAAACAAUUUUAUAUAUUUUUAUGGCUUCAAUUUGUUGUUCGUUACCACUGUGCGUGACUUAUACUCAUAAUAUGCCAAAGUUGUCACUUUGUUUGCUGUUGGCUACUUUUUCGGUAACAGUGUUGGGCAAUACACUUCACAACGGACCGCUCCAAUGCCUUGCAGCUUCCCACUACACGCUGGCAAGAAACUAUGUGUAUGACUAUCAAACUGUCAAAAUUAUGACAUUUGAAAUUUCACGUAACGUAACAUAACCGGACAAGAAAGCUGCCAGCAAGAGAUCCGUGAAAAACCCCCCGCGUAACCGCCCUGCCAAAGACCAAAGCCACGAACCAAGUGUUUCAAGUGUCAAGCGCACUGUUUGUUUGUCGGUUUUUGGUUUUGCUUUGGGAUAUGAAAUAUUUUCAAUUACAGUUCGUGCCAAAACUCUAGAGAUCAAAUUGUUGUGCACAGACGUGUCUGUCGGGCUGCCCGUACUGGAUCUGUCAAGAGUGAGCUAAGCGAAAAAAAAAUAAUCAUUAUAUGUACUUAUUCAAAUUGUUCAACAUGAGUUGUGCCUCUUAUUACAAAAAUAAAAAAUAAAAAGACAGCGUUCGGCGAAAAGUUUGCAGCUCCAGAAACACGCGACAAAAAUAUAAAA